CCUGGCAUCUUGGUUUAAUCUCUCAGACUUCAGGGGAUGACUGACGCCGGCGCUCUGUUGCUGGGUAGAGUGCAUUGUCGUAGUUUCUUAAAGAAAAUGGGGAAAAAAAUACUAAUGCUUCACUUUAGCUGUGCCACACAAAAGCCAGAAGGAAAAAGUAUGAAAGAAAGGCUCUGAAAGGAAAACAUUCAGUAUUAAGGGAAAAGCGGGGCCGACUGUACCCAUGAUAUGUAGUAGUGUAAGAGGAGAGAAAGACAGCUAUGGAUUUUAAUCCAUUUGUCGAUAAAGGUCACUACUCCAAAGGGUUUUAUUUCUCUGCCACACAUCAAAGUGUAAAUCCGCUGAUUGCCGCCACUGAAUAGGGAGACAACAAGGCCGGGUUUGUGGGUCGUUUCUAUGGCGCAGUGUGUGAGGAGAGAGCCCAUAAUGUGCAGGUUUUCUAUCAGGGGCCCCUAGAUCAAUGGGCAGCCUGACCUUUGCAUUGUGUUCCCGGCUUUGCCCGUGAUGUCAUGCCAUCUAUCAGCCUCUCUUCUUAAAGGGCCAAGAGAAAGGGAGGCAUGGUCCCACACUGUCAUCCCACCACGAGAUUGAAAAGAUGACCGCGAGUCAUUAUCUGCGAAUAUAACCACCUGAAACCACAGAAACACAGAUUAAAUGCGUCGGAUUAUCUAAAAGAUGAGCCCGGGCCACGUUCGAAAGCGCGACGUCGAAAUAUUCCACCCUAAGGAUAUGACAAGCGUUGAGAUAUUAAGAUGCAAAGUGCAUGUUUGAAAGCACCUCGGCACAAGUCGUUAAUCAAAUAAGGCCAAUGGCCUUUUUAAGAUGUUUGUCAGGGAUUGAUCUGCCUUUUGAGUUAAUAUACGCCAGGAGCAGAACUUAAAAAGGGAUAAAAGGGGUGAGCUUCUCAUUGUUCCUUGCUGAAAGCUCUCCUUUGUAGUAAAGAGGGCCGAUGGCAGCUGGUAGGGUCCUCUCCGCUCAUUGAACAUCGAGAACUUUCUCAGAGUGGCCAAGUGCAUUGGAAUGGAAAUCUAAAGAGUCACGGACAUAAUCGAGGGGGAUCCGGGCAGCGGCGUUGUGUGAAGGAAAACCUCGGCUGAGCCGUCCGCGACAGAUGUUGUAAUUGCCAGCUGAUGGAUGGGCCAUGGAGGAGGUCAUUACGGUCGGAGAUCCGGGACGAAGCGGGUUAACCGACGACUCGGAAAAGGAGGGAAGGGCCUGCGACACGGAUGGACAACCAGACCCCAGACGUCUGUAGAAGAUGAACGAUUCGUAAUGGGUUCGGGACGCAGGUCACGGGACGGAGAAGGGUGCAGGAUAUGGUCAACCCCCAAAUUAGACACACCCUCCCCCUAUUGUGUGCGGAAAACACACUACUUAUGCAGUCUUUUAUGUAGACAACAAUUAUCACGCUCGAGACUGCAGUGACUGAAAGAGUCAGUUAGUUACCCAUGAAACUUAAAGAGGUGUUUUAGACACUUAAGUCACACUUAAAACUGUCUGAAUGUCAUUUCAUUAGAUACCAAACCAAGUGGAAUCUGCUUCAAGAACUUUACUUUUCUGAACUAUAUUUGCAUUGACUUGUUGAUUUGGUUUUGUGAUUUUUAGCGGAUGCAUGAAGUCAUUUCUCCUCCGGUUCACACAGGCAUCCUAGCAUCCUAGGAACCACAGGUGUUAAUUCACUAUAUUAAUUAUGAUCAUGAUACACUAAUGUUAAAAUCCACAAAGUUAUGUUAAUUUUUGCUCAUUUAAGACUUAAUUUUUUUUAAUGAAAUCUUUGCUUAAAAAGUGUGCUUGAGUGUGAUGUCUUAUGUAAAAAUAUUGUUAAAUUGUCAUUUAUUUUAAAGUGUGGUUAAAAGAAACAUUCCAAGUUCAAUACCAGUCUCAAUCUUAACUGACAGCAUUGGUGACCACUAGCAAAUUUAUUACCACAAAAAUGAAUUUUGUCUUGUUCUUUUCUUUAAAACGAAGCAGAAAUCUGGGUUACAUCUAGGAUACACAACAGUGAAAGUGAACAUAAACAUUAAAAUACUCUCAUUUCAAUAGUAUAGUUACAAGACGUAAACAAUGUGCACAUCAACAUGAUUUUAAUGUGAAAAACUCCUAACAUCUGUGUAAAGUAAUAUCCUCUUUUUUUCUACAUUGUAAACAUGAUUUUUUGAAGUUG
ensembl:lncRNA